GGUCAAUGAUGAAUAGUAAAAGGUCUGAUUUUCCCAGUGGUUUGCCCUCUUUACCAUUGUAGCUCCCAGCAAUUUCUCAUCCAUCAUACUCUAGACGUGCUAUGAUUUGGACAGUAUUUGCUGAAAAGUAGAGAUAUAUUCAACUUGUGUUACUCUACAGUACUGGGUAGACACGGCUGAUAUUGCUAUCCAACAUAAACAGUUAAAGGAGUUUGAGGUAUUGGAGCAACAUCUGGGUAUAUGAUCUCAAUCUUUUAGCUGAGACC